GCUUUCACCACCCAGGCCCUGGCCAGUGUAGCCUAUCAAGUGGGUAACCUGGCGGGGCACACGCUUCGAAUGCUGGAUCUACAGGGUGCUGCCCUGCGGCAGGUGGAAGCCAAGAUGAGCACACUGGGCCAGAUGGUGAACAUGCACCUGGAGAAAGUAGCCAGAAGGGAGAUUGGCACGUUGGCCACUGUCGUGCGGCUGCCCCCUAGCCAGAAGGUCAUCCCUCCUGAGAGCCUGCCUCCCCUCACUCCCUACUGCAGAAAACCCCUCAACUUUGCCUGCUUGGAUGAUGUUGGCCAUGGAGUCAAGGUAAGGAGAACUCUGCUCUUCCCCGCUGCCCACCCUGUCUGCCAUGUAGCUCCCUCCCUCUUCCCGAGCUUUUGUACUACCUCACAGCCCCCUUUCCUCUCUCACACUCCAGGACGCAUGGCCUAAACUCCAUGCUCUCUCAAAGUUCUUAACUACCCUGCACUCCGACAUUGCUCCUGGAAGAUCAUGAGCUGUUCCUGCCCCAACCCCCCGAAUGGGUCGUGGUGUGUGUGGUGUGUGUGUGUGUGUGUGUGUGUGUGUGAAGGGGAA
rnacentral:lncRNA from 1 species